UUCUAUGGCCUUAAAACCCUGAAUAUACCUGGUUUCCUCUGAUCUCAGAAGCUAAGCAGGGUAAGGCCUAGUUAGUACUAGGAUGGAAGAAAUAAAGGAUGCUUAUUAUAGAUC
rnacentral:rRNA from 1 species